AACGAACGCUGGCGGCAGGCUUAACACAUGCAAGUCGAGCGCCCCGCAAGGGGAGCGGCAGACGGGUGAGUAACGUGUGGGAACGUACCCUUUGCUACGGAAUAGCUCCGGGAAACUGGAAUUAAUACCGUAUGUGCCCUACGGGGGAAAGAUUUAUCGGCAAAGGAUCGGCGCGCGUUGGAUUAGCUAGUUGGUGGGGUAAUGGCCUACCAAGGCGACGAUCCAUAGCUGGUCUGAGAGGACGAUCAGCCACAUUGGGACUGAGACACGGACCAAACUCCUACGGGAGGCAGCAGUGGGGAAUAUUGGACAAUGGGCGCAAGCCGGAUCCAGCCAUGCCGCGUGAGUGAUGAAGGCCUUAGGGUUUUAAAGCUCUUUCACCGGAGAAGAUAAUGACGGUAUCCGGAGAAGAAGCCCCGGCUAACUUCGUGCCAGCCGCCGCCGUAACAC
rnacentral:rRNA from 1 species